rnacentral:sRNA from 2 species
CGCACCGUCAUGGGGGAGUAGCCGCUCUUCGUCAGAAGAGGCUUGCGUCAACAUGCUUGGCCUUCGGGCCAUGGCGCAGGCAGUCCCGAACCUGGCAAGACCUUUGACCACGAUGCUUCCGACAGGCCGGCGGCGUCGCGGUCAAUCGUCCGUCGCCGGCCCGGGAUC